GACGAACGCUGGCGGCGUGCCUAAUACAUGCAAGUCGAGCGAAUCAAAGGGAGCUUGCUCCCUGAGGUUAGCGGCGGACGGGUGAGUAACACGUGGGCAACCUGCCUAUAAGACUGGGAUAACUUCGGGAAACCGGAGCUAAUACUGGAUAAUUCAUAUCUAUUCAUGUAGAUUUGCUGACAGACGGUUUACGCUGUCACUUAUAGAUGGGCCCGCGGCGCAUUAGCUAGUUGGUGAGGUAACGGCUCACCAAGGCGACGAUGCGUAGCCGACCUGGGAGGGUGAUCGGCCACACUGGGACGGGGACACGGCCCAGACUCCUACGGGAGGCAGCAGUAGGGAAUCUUCCGCAAUGGACGAAAGUCUGACGGAGCAACGCCGCGUGAGUGAUGAAGGUUUUCGGAUCGUAAAACUCUGUUGUUAGGGAAGAACAAGUACUAGAGUAACUGCUAGUACCUUGACGGUACCUAACCAGAAAGCCACGGCUAACUACGUGCCAGCCGCCGCCGUAAAAC
rnacentral:rRNA from 1 species